UACGGGGGGGGGCAAGCGUUGUUCGGAAUUACUGGGCGUAAAGGGCUCGUAGGCGGCCAACUAAGUCAGACGUGAAAUCCCUCGGCUUAACCGGGGAACUGCGUCUGAUACUGGAUGGCUUGAGUUUGGGAGAGGGAUGCGGAAUUCCAGGUGUAGCGGUGAAAUGCGUAGAUAUCUGGAGGAACACCGGUGGCGGAAGGCGGCAUCCUGGACCAACACUGACGCUGAGUGAGCGAAAGCCAGGGGAGCAAACAGGG
rnacentral:rRNA from 1 species